GAUGAAGAACGCAGCGAAAUGCGAUAAGUAGUGUGAAUUGCAGAAUUCAGUGAAUCAUCGAAUCUUUGAACGCACAUUGCGCCCCUUGUUAUUCCAUGGGGCAUGCCUGUUCGAGCGUCAUUUGUACCUUCAAGCUUUGCUUGGUGUUGGGUGUUUGUCUCGCCUUUGCGUGUAGACUCGCCUUAAAAUAAUUGGCAGCCGGCGUAUUGAUUUCGGAGCGCAGUACAUCUCGCGCUUUGCACUCAUAACGACAGCGUCCAAAAGUACAUUUUACACUCUUGACCUCGGAUCAGGUAGGGAUACCCGCUGAACUUAAGCAUAUCAAUAAGCGGAGGA
rnacentral:misc_RNA from 1 species